rnacentral:rRNA from 1 species
AUGAACGCUGGCGGCGUGCCUAAUACAUGCAGGUCGAGCGAACGGACGAGAAGCUUGCUUUUCUGAUGUUAGCGGCGGACGGGUGAGUAACACGUGGAUAACCUACCUAUAAGACUGGGAUAACUUCGGGAAACCGGAGCUAAUACCGGAUAAUAUUUUGAACCGCAUGGUUCAAAAGUGAAAGACGGUCUUGCUGUCACUUAUAGAUGGAUCCGCGCUGCAUUAGCUAGUUGGUAAGGUAACGGCUUACCAAGGCAACGAUCCAUAGCCGACCUGAGAGGGUGAUCGGCCACACUGGAACUGAGACACGGUCCAGACUCCUACGGGAGGCAGCAGUAGGGAAUCUUCCGCAAUGGGCGAAAGCCUGACGGAGCAACGCCGCGUGAGUGAUGAAGGUCUUCGGAUCGUAAAACUCUGUUAUUAGGGAAGAACAUAUGUGUAAGUAACUGUGCACAUCUUGACGGUACCUAAUCAGAAAGCCACGGCUAACUACGUG